UGAGUACCGGAGCCGCUGCCGCCAAGUCCGGAUCCCACGCCGCGCGGCCUCCGACGCCCGCCCGUUCGACGGUCACUCCCGAUUCCUUUAGGUUCUAAGUCCAAGAUGGCAACUCUCAAGGACCAACUGAUUCAGAAUCUUCUUAAGGAAGAACAUGUCCCCCAGAAUAAGAUUACAGUUGUUGGGGUUGGUGCUGUUGGCAUGGCCUGUGCCAUCAGUAUCUUAAUGAAGGACUUGGCAGAUGAAAUUGCUCUUGUUGAUGUCAUGGAAGAUAAACUGAAGGGAGAGAUGAUGGAUCUCCAACAUGGCAGCCUUUUCCUUAGAACACCAGAAAUUGUCUCUGGCAAAGACUAUAAUGUGACAGCAAACUCCAGGCUGGUUAUUAUCAGAGCUGGGGCACGUCAGCAAGAGGGAGAGAGCCGUCUUAAUUUGGUCCAGCAUAACGUGAACAUCUUUAAAUUUAUCAUUCCUAAUUUUGUAAAAUACAGCCCAAAUUGCAAGUUGCUUGUUGUUUCCAAUCCAGUCGAUAUUUUGACCUAUGUGGCUUGGAAGAUAAGUGGCUUUCCCAAAACCCGUGUUAUUGGAAGUGGUUGCAAUCUGGAUUCAGCUCGGUUCCGUUAUCUCAUGGGGGAGAGGCCGGGAGUUCACCCAUUAAGCUGCCAUGGGUGGAUCCUUGGGGAGCAUGGCGACUCUAGUGUGCCUGUAUGGAGUGGAGUGAAUGUUGCUGGUGUCUCCCUGAAGAAUUUACACCCUGAAUUAGGCACUGAUGCAGAUAAGGAACAGUGGAAAGCGGUUCACAAACAGGUGGUUGACAGUGCUUAUGAGGUGAUCAAACUGAAAGGCUACACAUCCUGGGCCAUUGGACUGUCAGUGGCCGAUUUGGCCGAAAGUAUAAUGAAGACUCUUAGGCGGGUGCAUCCGAUUUCCACCAUGAUUAAGGGUCUCUAUGGAAUAAAAGAGGAUGUCUUCCUUAGUGUUCCUUGCAUCUUGGGACAGAAUGGAAUCUCAGACGUUGUGAAAGUGACUCUGACUCAUGAGGAAGAGGCCUGUUUGAAGAAGAGUGCAGAUACACUUUGGGGGAUCCAGAAAGAACUGCAGUUUUAAAGUCUUCUAAUGUAUCACUUCACUGUCUAGGCUACACAGGAUUUUAGUUGGAGGUUGUAACUCAUACUGUCCUUUAUAUCUGAUCUGUGAUUAAAACAGUAAUGUUAAGACAGCCUAGGGAAAAAUCAAUUUCCUAAUGUUAGAAAUAGGAAUGGUCCAUAAAACCUUGCAGCUGUAUCCUGAUGCUGGAUGGCACUUACCUUGUGUGUCCUAAACUGGUUUGUCAAAUAAUUCAGCUUCCUCAAGAGGUACCACUGCCCAUGUUGCUGAUGCUGCAGUUGCCCUUCAAGCCAGAUGUGUAUUUACUGUGUUAUAUAACCUCUGGUUCCUUUAGCCAAGGUGCCUAGUCCAACUUUUUCCCUCCAGUGAAUCACAUCCUGGGAUCCAAUGUAUAAAUCCAGUAUUGCAUGCCACGUGCAUAACUGUUCUAAAGAAUCUUACGUACUGUAUGAAUCAGAAUAGUGUGCACUGCCUUGUAAUGUAAAAGGGAAAAAUUACAUAAAUAAUGCCGCCAACUAAGUGUUACACCAACUAAAUAAAUAAAGCUUGAACAGUGAAAAAAAAAA